rnacentral:rRNA from 1 species
UACGUAGGGGGCAAGCGUUGUCCGGAAUCAUUGGGCGUAAAGCGCGUAUAGGCGGUUCGGUAAGUCCGCUGUGAAAGUCGGGGGCUCAACCCUCGAAAGCCGGUGGAUACUGUCGGGCUAGAGUGCGGAAGAGGCGAGUGGAAUUCCUGGUGUAGCGGGUGAAAUGCGCAGAUAUCAGGAGGAACACCAAUUGCGAAGGCAGCUCGCUGGGACGUUACUGACGCUGAGACGCGAAAGCGUGGGGAGCAAACAGG